GGAGUCUUUCUACUCUUGGAUUCUUUAAGAAACCAUUCAUGAUUAUGUCUGAUAUUUGGAUCAUGGUUUGAGCACACCCGUGCCUGGCUAUCCAUGAGAGAAAGCGACAACUUCCUGCUACUGAGCUAUGAAGACAU